rnacentral:rRNA from 1 species
CCCUAUUAUAAUUAAUGUAAAUGUAAUUUUGAGUAGUAGAUUAUUUGUUCAGGAAACUUAAAGAAUUUGGCGGUGUAUAUUUUAAUUAGAGGAAUAUGUUUUUUAAUUGAUAAUCCACAAAAAUCUUACUUAAAUUUAUUUAAUUUGUAUAUCUCCGUGUAAAAAAUAUUUUAAAAUAUUUUUUUAAUGUUUCAAUUUAUGAUAUUUCAGGUCAAGAUGCAGUUUAUAUUUAAGUUAAAAUGUAUUACAAUAAAAUUAUUUAUGGAUUGUUAUUUAAAUAACGACAUGAAAUUGGAUUUAUAAGUAAAUUUUCUUAUAUGAUAGUCAAUUGAACAUUAUAAAAUACAUGUACACAUC